UGGCCCGUGCGCGGAGUUGAGUUGGGAGGGUGUGUUGAUGUGCUCAGGGUUUGGUAGACGUUCGUAGCAAGUAGGAUCGGUCCGAGGAUUGAAUGAACAUGGAAUGAAUCUGUUCCUUCGUUGCCGUCGUCGUUCUUAUCAACUCCUCUUCCUCUCCUCCUCGACUAUUCCGUACCGCAGGUACUACCCUCCUCUGAAGCACCUCCGGAUGCACGAGUCCUUGCGGAUGUUCCUCUUCGACUCCGCGUACCUGGUUCGGCUUCGACGCCGCCGCGUUUCUCGUGGUUCCUGCGGCGGCCACGGCGACCUCUCUUCUUCUUCCGACGACGACCGCCGCCACCACCACGCUCGUCGUCCCCUCCGAAGAAACCGGAGCACUUCUUCUUCCACGUGGGGUUUGGGUUUCGUCGUCGGCGCCGGUGAAGGAGAACUAAUAUGAUGACAUAAGCGGUACGGUGGUUCAACAUUCGGCGUCGAAAGAAGAUCGAUCCUCGCAUACACACACAUACAAACAAGAAAGCUAAUCGAAGAGACUCCGGUUUCUUUGAAACACAACCUCCUCACACAUUCAGUGACCGACAUUACAAACGUUCAACAAAACAAGUAACCAAGUUUAUUUCAACUGUUUUUU
rnacentral:rRNA from 1 species